UGGUAGGGGCGGGACUAUGUAGAAGUGCUGUCCAUCUGUGGCGAUACAGAUUUAAAAAAAAAUGGACUGACGGAGUGUAAGCUAACGUUGUUCUUCGCGUGAACUAAUACUUGCUUUGAAGCGGAGGGAAACGUUUUUCCUGCUAAGCGCGAGGAAGUUACUGAAAAAUCUCGCCUUCAGCUUAAUUGUUUUGGGAAAUUCGGCGACCUGGCUUUAAAAAUUGGGCCCCCCUUUGGAACUCCACAAAGUGAAGGUUGAUAUGCCACAUCAGACAGAUGCAUCCCUCCACAUUCCACAUGUGUAUGUCUGCUUGCCCACAGCAGGGGCUGGUGUGCAAAUCCCCUUAAAUCCAAAUAUGCAGUUGGAUAAAAAAUAAAAUAAAAUAAAAAAAGGAA